AGCUACAACACAGAGAAGACUUAAGUAGGACAGGUGACAGAGCUACAACACAGAGAAGACUUAAGUAGGACAGGUCACGGGGAGCUACAUCAGAAGAGUUCAGUAGGACAGGUACAGAGCUACAACACAGAAUAUUUCAGUAGAACAGGUUUAAGGGCUACAGCACAGGGAAGACUUCAGUAGAACAGGUUUGAGGGCUACAGGACAGGGAAGACUUCAGUAGGACAGGUUUAAGGGCUACAGGACAGGGAAGACUUCAGUAUGACAGGUUUAAGGGCUACAGGACAGGGAAAACUUCAGUAGGACAGGUUUAAGGGCUACAGGACAGGGAAGACUUCAGUAGGACAGGUUUAAGGGCUACAGGACAGGGAAGACUUCAGUAGGACAGGUUUAAGGGCUACAGGACAGGGAAGACUUCAGUAGGACAGGUUUAAGGGCUACAGGACAGGGACGACUUCAGUAGGACAGGUUUAAGGGCUACAGGACAGGGAAGACUUCAGUAGGACAGGUUUAAGGGCUACAGGACAGGGAAGACUUCAGUAGGACAGGUUUAAGGGCUACAGGACAGGGAGGACUUCAGUAGGACAGGUUUAAGGGCUACAGGACAGGGAAGACUUCAGUAGGACAGGUUUAAGGGCUACAGGACAGGGAAGACUUCAGUAGGACAGGUUUAAGGGCUACAGGACAGGGAGGACUUCAGUAGGACAGGUUUAAGGGCUACAGGACAGGGAAGACUUCAGUAGGACAGGUUUAAGGGCUACAGGACAGGGAAGACUUCAGUAGGACAGGUUUAAGGGCUACAGUGUAGGCUUGCCUAAACAAAGGGGUUAAUAAUUAUGCAACAACUACAGAUUCCAGUUACUUAAUUUGUAUAAAAAAAAUAGUGUAGAAUUUUCUUUUCCCUUUGACAUUAUGGAGUAUUUUGUGUCGAUCAAUAACAAAAAACAUCUAUUAAAUGUAUUUCAAUCCCACUUUGUAACGGAACAAAAUCUAAACGGGGCGUGAAUACUUCCGAUGCAUCCCAUCAACGGGCUAUUUGGUACAUUUAUUCCAUUCCAAAUCAAAGUCUUCAC